GAACGCUGGCGGCGUGCCUAACACAUGCAAGUCGAACGGAGUUAAGACUUCGGUUUUAACUUAGUGGCGAACGGGUGAGUAACGCGUGAGAAACCUGCCUUUCAGUGGGGGACAACAGUUGGAAACGACUGCUAAUACCGCAUAAUGUUAUUUGGGGGCAUCCUUGAAUAACCAAAGCUUUAUGUGCUGAAAGAUGGUCUCGCGUCUGAUUAGCUAGUUGGUGAGGUAACGGCUCACCAAGGCGACGAUCAGUAGCCGGUCUGAGAGGAUGAACGGCCACAUUGGGACUGAGAUACGGCCCAGACUCCUACGGGAGGCAGCAGUGGGGAAUAUUGGGCAAUGGGGGAAACCCUGACCCAGCAACGCCGCGUGAAGGAAGAAGGCCUUCGGGUUGUAAACUUCUUUUACCAGGGACGAAGAACGUGACGGUACCUGGAGAAAAAGCAACGGCUAACUACGUG
rnacentral:rRNA from 1 species